CGAACUGGGAUUUGGCAAGAGUCAGCAAACCGCUGCAGUUUGUAUACUCACUGCUGUUCGUUGAUUGUGCAAAGCGGGAACAAGCCAUUAGCAAGCGAGAAAGAUCCUGUCAAGUUGUCGUGAAGUUGACGGGGCGCUGAUUAAGGGGUUUCGAAUUUCUUAAUUAAGAAACGGAGUCUGCGACAUCGAACCUCGGCCUCAACGCGUUUCGGAGCGGAGAACUCCACCCCCACGACUUCUCGAAGCGCUUCACCGAAUAUACUGCGAAGUGGAGUGACUGUGUAUUUCAAGGGUGAAACACGUGGGGCAGCAGCACUGAAACGUUUCCAUCUCACUUACAGUCACGCGAGGGGAAAGAAGCCAAGAGCUAAAUUGUUGGCAAUUAAAAUGCACAACAGCUGGA